rnacentral:rRNA from 1 species
UGCGUAGGCGGUUAUAUUAGUCGGGUGUUAAAUCCUCAGGCUCAACCUGAGGCUCGCAUUCGAAACGGUAUAACUAGAAGAAGUCAGAGGUAAGCAGAACUCUCGGUGUAGGGUGAAAUCCGUUGAUAUCGAGGGAAUACCAAAUGCGAAGGCAGCUUACUGGGACUUUCUUGACGCUGAGGCACGAAAGCGUGGGUAGCGAAUC